rnacentral:rRNA from 1 species
UACGGGGGGGGCAAGCGUUGUUCGGAAUUACUGGGCGUAAAGGGCUUGUAGGUGGCCAACUAAGUCAGACGUGAAAUCCCUCGGCUUAACCGGGGAACUGCGUCUGAUACUGGAUGGCUUGAGUGUGGGAGAGGGAUGCGGAAUUCCAGGUGUAGCGGUGAAAUGCGUAGAUAUCGGAAGGAACAUCAGUGGCGAAAGCGGCUUCCUGGACCAGAACUGACGAUCAGGCUCGAAAGCGUGGGGAGCAAACAGG